rnacentral:lncRNA from 1 species
GUAUUUCUCUCUCUCCUUCACUCCUGCCCUCCCCACCUCAGUCUGGGUCUCCUUCUGCCUCUUCCUUUAGUUCUCUGAGUGUCUCCCAGUCUGCCCCUCUCUCACGCUGCCCACCCAGCUCGGGCUCUGUCAGGGAGAGGAAAGGCUGCCGUGAGCCUCCGCCUGGCUGUGCCCGGGACUCAGCUUUAGAGGGGAUGAGGAGUGUGGUGGUGGUGGUCACCCGCCCUCAGCCCCAGCCCUGGCCCCGGGCCCUCAGGCCCAUUCUUCAUCCCCUCCAUGCCUUGCAGGGGCUCCCUGCACUCUCCAGGCAGAGCCAAUCCCUGGUAACCCCUUUGCCCCAACUGUUCUCUUGGCCCCAAGUCCAUAUCAUCUCUGGAGUUCCGAUCUGAGUGUCCUAUGCACCCAGACAGUGACUCUCAAAAAAUACAUCUGCAUGUCGGCGUCUCCUUAGCCCCCUACCCUAGAGAGGUGCAGACCAAGGCUCACAACAGGUUUGGUCAGAAACCAUGACUGUCACGUGUUGUCUCCAGGCCGGGACCUCCAUUCCUGUUGAGUUCACAACAAUGCCUCGGCUCUGGAGGUGGUGGGCACCCCAGAGGUUGGCUUUUCAUAAAGCUCCUUAGAUGGCUUUCUGAUAGCUGCGUCCCCUGGCCAAUCCAAAACCUCCUUGGUCAGGGGGGCCGCAAGGACUCAGAGCAACCAUGAGUUCCUGUUGCUUUGGCCCUGGGACCUCUCCAAAAGAGGGACUUCCAGCCAGUGGAGGACGGGUGACUGGUUGGAGGCAGAGGCUUUGUGACACUCAGGGCUGUUUUUUCAAGAGCCCCACCCAACUCUCCUCAGGAUGACUUAGGCAGCUGUUACUCAAGGGACCGUGGGGGCGGGGAGGCAGGCUUGCACCAGAAGCGUCUGCAUCAGCCUCCUGGAGGUGGAGAUUGCAG